GAAAUGCGAUAAGUAAUGUGAAUUGCAGAAUUCAGUGAAUCAUCGAAUCUUUGAACGCACCUUGCGCUCCGUGGUAUUCCUUGGAGCAUGCCUGUUUGAGUAUCAUGAAAUCUUCAAAGUAAAUCUUUUGUUAACUCAAUUGGUUUCUACUUUGGUAUUGGAGGUCUUUGCAGCUUCACACCUGCUCCUCUUUGUUCAUUAGCUGGAUCUCAGUGUUAUGCUUGGUUCCACUCGGCGUGAUAAGUUAUCUAUCGCUGAGGACACUGUAAAAGGUGGCCAAGGUAAAUGCAGAUGAACCGCUUCUAAUAGUCCAUUGACUUGGACAAUACUUUUAUGAUCUGAUCUCAAAUCAGGUAGGACUACCCGCUGAACUUAAGC
rnacentral:misc_RNA from 1 species